UACGUAGGGUGCAAGCGUUAUCCGGAAUUAUUGGGCGUAAAGAGCUCGUAGGCGGUUUGUCGCGUCUGCUGUGAAAACUGGAGGCUCAACCUCCAGCCUGCAGUGGAUACGGGCAGGCUUGAGUUCGGUAGGGGAGACUGGAAUUCCUGGUGUAGCGGUGAAAUGCGCAGAUAUCAGGAGGAACACCGGUGGCGAAGGCGGGUCUCUGGGCCGUACUGACGCUGAGGAGCGAAAGCGUGGGGAGCAACAGGAUUAGAACCUACCG
rnacentral:rRNA from 1 species